rnacentral:lncRNA from 1 species
AUGGUGGUGGUUUUAUGCAACCUGCCAGCAGCCUUCUGUUAGGUGACUCUUCUCUUGAUAACUAACACACACCUAUCACUUCUCCUAUAGAACCCCUCCCAUAGAAUUAAGGUUAUCUAAAGAUAUUACAUAAACACUGGAACACUUUUCAUAAGAAAAAGAAGAAAGAAUCACAAAUACUGCUUACAAAAAUAAAUUCAUCACAGCUUUGACUGAGCUACAAGAGAUGCAUUUGUUAAUCCAGAUCUUUCUCCGGUGGGACGAUUUCCAUCAGCAUCUGUAGGUACAUGGUAACUGGCUCUGGAACACAAGUCAGCAAGUCAUGAAAGUUAGAAAAAUGUAGCUGAGAGGCCUCACUGUGCUUGUUGGUGAGCAGUGAUAUUAUUCUUACCCUGUGGUAAUAUGUCCCUCUUAGACCCUAUACUCAGGAUAUCUGGUGUUUAAAGUGAAUCAGAACUAUCCUACUAGCUGCACUGCUUCUUCGGGAUUCAGUUCUUUCCUAAAUAUUACUCCCCCUCAACAAUUUACCCAGUAGGAGACUAUGAGUGACUCAUUUAUGCAGGUGUGUUUACUACCACUGACCAAGUGGUGACUAGUCUUAAGUCACUGAGACGGGUUUUGUUUCAAAUACAGAUUGGUUUUUUUCCACUACCUUGACCCAACUGCUUAUCAGUUUUUGGAGGGAACAGCCAAGAAGCAAACCACAUUUUGUACCAUGAGGUUGCAAGUCGUCCUGCUUAGGCUCUCUGUCAAUCUGAUCAAAUCCAAGUGCAUUUCUGAGGCUCAGGGCGGGGGCGUUUCACUAAUUUUCUUUCCUUUCUAUAGCUGUGUGCCUGUAGCCCAUCAGCUUAGGUUAAGAGCAAAGAGGUUGGGGGUAAAAGGAACUACGUGGGGAAGGAAAAAGUCCUGAUGGAAAUGACACUCGUGUCAUGCGUUGUUUUCACUUUGCUAAUUACAGAAAAUGAAUUCUCCCUCUCGCCUCUAGCACCACUGUCAGGUAAGCGAUGGUCCCUGACUCCCCAGCUGAGCAGACAGGGGAAAGGCUCUGAGGACAGACAAGCUCAGCCACUUUCGGCUGCACCUGAGUCCCACGUCUACUUUCCUGCCUUCUAGUUGGGUGUUGCUCUUCCAUACCUCUGGUUGAACCCAGAGGCACGGCAGUGGGGGAGAAGGUCACAUGUCCUGGGGUGACAUCUGCUGGAUCCUGUGAUGAGGGUAUUUGCAGGAUGAGGAGAGGAUGUUCCAGACCUGGAUUCACUCAUCUCUCCAGGGAACUUCAUAUCCCUUUCAUGAGAAAUGGGAUGUAAAGAUGUUAUUCUGGGUAAGUGAAAUAUUCAUUGUUCUUUUAGAAGGACAGCGAUAAAUAAGCUUCUUAGGGCAAAAAAAUCAUAAAUUCAUACUGAUACGUUCGUGGAAAUGUAAA